rnacentral:lncRNA from 1 species
CCGUACCCGACCUGGCCCAUCGUCCGUCACACCCUUAAUCACCCUAACCCUUCACUUUUUCUCCAUCAUUGAAAUGUAACCCAGACAUCAACAAAAAAAUAUAUGGGUUCCCUCCUUUUCCUUUCUGUAAGCAGCAUAUUCUACUAGACCACCGGAUAAUGGAAAAUCCGAUGGUCUUCAGCCUUAUCCUCCACUUUUCCAUUAGUCCUGCAAUUCAUCCUUCAACUUUAUAUCAUUUCAAUAGCAUUUUCAGCUUAAAUCAUACCCUAAAGAGAUUUCCACUGCCCUGCGACCCCUGCAAAGUUGAAAAGUUGAAGGUCCAUUGGGUUUGAGAUUGUUAACCUCCUGAUUUUAUGAGUCUGAAAGAGGGAGCUUCCAAAUUUCCCUUUUCCCCUUUUUACAUCAGCCAGCAAAGAUGGGGAAGAUGAGUCCUUUUCCUGCCUCCAAUUUUACUCUGUAAUUUGGGGUCUUUUUGAGAAUCUAAAUUUGAAUUCUUAAGGCCUCACUUGAGGACCGUUGCAAACUCCUUCUCAAAUUUGGCUAUAAAAGAGACUUUGGGCUCUCAUUUUUGGGGAGCAAGAAAAGCAAGCAAAAAAACAAGAAUAACCAAGUAAGGAAAUCAGAAGAAGAUAUUACAAUUAGUUCGUAUUACUAUUUCUAUCUCGUUUUCUCGCUCUCUUUUCGAAGUUGAAGUUUGAGUUCGAGUUCAAAUUUUCGAUGAGGAGCCCCCCUAGUUCGCUGCUCCACACAAGGUCAGCCCUCUUUCUCUCCUCUUUUGUUUAUGUCAUUCGACCCUUAUUAUGGGAAGACUCAAUCUAAUCUGUUUAGAUUACUGGCUUUCAUAUCAUUUCUUUAUGUGUCACUAUUUCGUCAACACGUUUAUCUUUGGCCUAGUUACAUGUUGGGGAAUAAGUGUGUUGGUUUUUAAAUCCUUUUUCAAAGCUCUGCUAUUUAUAUCACAGAGUAAUGUCGUUACCCAAGUCGUUAUUCAUUUUUUCUCUCUGAGAUACAUGAAUAUAAUUUGUUUUGGCUUUCUGAUUCACUCAACUUGGUCACUGCGUGGGGUUUGCUUUGUACUUUAAAUGUGCAAUAAUAUGUAGAUUAGAGUAAACAACAAUAUGGAUUGGAAAGGUUGUGUCUGGUCGAAAAUAAAGAGUAUGUUGAUCUACUAUGUAAAAUUCAUCUUGUUAUCUCGUCUCUGUCUCUUUCCAGCCGGUCUAUUCUUGUUCUGUGAAUACGUAAAUUGGUUUUGGCUUUAAACUAGAUUGAUGUUGUUAUCUGUUUUCUGGCAAAUUGAGUUCAAGAACAUGUGUUGACUUGAUUGACCUUUAUUUCAACAUACAGUUGUUUUACGUCUAAACGUACGAAUUUGCUCUUCCAUCUCACUUUCACCAUCUUUUCUGUUAUCUCGUCUAGAUUUCGUGAACAUGUUGUCUUGUGUGAAGUCGUACCAAAAUUUGAAAUGUUGUCGUAGACUCUAUAAAAAAUGGUGUUGUAUGUAUGUUGCUUACCCCGUUUUAGUAUCACCUAAGAAUCAAAUAUAGAUUCAUCUUAAGUUUCUGUGGUUUUACUGUAUGUGUCCGUUUCAUACCUAAAAUACUCCAUACAUGAAUAACCCAUUCCCCUUUUGUUGUUUAUUAAUGAAUACGAUCCUGUGGAGACUUGGAAGGCUAUGCUCCAUUAGGCACCUUGUUGGUGUGUCUGGUUACUUUCUUUGAGUUAAGGAGCAUAAUCUGAUUUUCCUCAUUUAUUAAGGCCACUUUUUGUUUCAAACUUCACUGUUUCUCUUUUUGUUUCUUUGUUUUCGUUGUUUGUUUUCUGUAAAGUAAACCAACAACAAUGACAUUCAUGCCUUAUAUUCUGUAGUUGUAGUUUUGUACUUGUGUUUUACCUUUGUUUAGCUAACAUUUUAAAGUGUCCCAACUGGAAACACUCUGUGAUAUACUAACCUAUCGCCAGGAUCCUUUCCUGUGUCUUAACUAUUCUUCAACAUCUAAUUAUAAUUUUAUAUCAUAGUAGCAGAAAAUAUUAACCAAGCUGUAGAAAUUUUGUUUGUCGAGAUAAGCCAUAGACAUCUCUAUAGGGCAGCAUGUUCCUCUAAAAUUUUUCUGUCCAGUGAACGUCUUUAGUGUCCUACUUGUCAUUUUUGUAGAGUGAGUUCUAGAAAGAGUAUGUGAGUUAUCCCGUCUUCUUUUGUUCAUCACCUAUUCUAUCUCGUUUAUACCAUAGAGGCUGUUUACAAGUGAAUAUGAAAUGUGUACGUUGGUUGGUUGAUAAUAUGGGUUCAAAUCACUGUCAGAAUAGUAUAAGAACAAAAAUGAUUCACUAAAAUGAUUUCGAUUUCACAUAUUAGCUGUUCGAUGAAUCUUUGCCAAAUUGUUUAUAGUUCGGAUUGUCAUUUUAAAAUCUGAAGCUAACCCCCCCGCGCGCUUACACUUUAGUAAAGCCGGUUUCUUCCCUUAUUCCUGUCAUUUAUAAUAUUUGCAUGUAUCGGUUGAUUGAUUUCUUUUAAAAUGCAAAGUUCAUUAACUUACUAAUCUAGUUCAUCUUAGCUGUCAAAUAUAUUCAACAACAAAAUGUUUGAGAUCGUUUUGACAUCGAUUUGGUUGUUUUUUUCUCUUUUAGACGUGGUAAGGAUCACUUGAAUAUGUAUAUGUUUGGCCUAAAAUAUGUUGACUGCUUGAUCUUAUUACAGAAGGAUUCUUAAAAGGUCUGAGAUUUGACGAAAGCUUGCUUGCGAUCAUGGAAUGUUAUAACUUCUUCUUUUGCUUGAACGCAUACAUGUGACUACACAUUGGGUCAAAUAUAUAUUCUGUUGUUGUGUCACUACAUGAUCAACUUGCAAAAUAACUUGAAAAUGUUGUGUCGUUUAAAGGAAACUACAGGAUCCUCAGAAGAAAAAUAAACGUGUGUCCAUGGAGUUAAAUCUGGAUCAUGUUUCAAACUUCUGUAGUAUAUUUAUAUUUACAAAGAUAUUGAGUUCAUUGAAAUUGUUGUGCUCACUUGAUAGCUUUAAAGGAUUCUAUGAACAUGGAUUGUAUCUUUACCUAGACUACGCAUGUUGUGGGAGUUAAACGUUAGUUUCGAACUCAUAUACGUUCAGAUUUGCUGUGAUGUUUGUGAAAGUGAUAUGUUAGAUCUCUUUUGCCUAGAAAUUGUCCUUUGCUUGGAGUUUAUGAUGCUGGUAGUUUGCUAAUCGAGCCAUCAAUGUUUGUCAAGAAGUCUAAAUAACACUAAAAUACCGACUAUAUUUUAUCUUUGACGCCACUCUAAAAUACAAGAUACGAGCCUGCAACCACUGUCAAUUUGGUCUGUUCACUAGUGCCUUUUGGGGGAGUCUUGGAGAGUUGGAAAUGGAGGCUUUGAUAUUAUUUUCAGUAUCUUUGGAAUGGUUUUAUAUUCAGUGACAUUGUGUAACAGUGAGGUUCCACUAUUUUGCUCAUUAGCGUACUUUUUGAACCAUUGAUGUAAGGUUCUUGCAAGUUAAGUUUAUAUAUCAUGGGCUACUGUAGUUAUAACAAGCAUUAGAAAGGGGAGAUGUGGUGUUAGUUAUAACUUAAAAGGAUUUAAGUUACAUACAAUAUCAUUGUAUGUAAUAUGGUUUACCUUCCUUAUUUUUGAAAUUACCAAUCCACUCAUGAAAUAGAAAUUAUUGUAGUUGGCUUUUUCUUAUAAGAUGGUAAAUUAUUCUUUCCACCGUAUGUGUAUGUAAAGAACCACUUAAUCCGUAGUUUUUGUUCCUAGAAAAGUAGAAAGCUGGUGUUCCCAUAGAUUAUUAUUACUCUUAUCAGAUUUAGAUUUAUUGGUGUUAUUCAGUUUAGGUAUUUUGAUGGAUAUAUCAUUGAGACUGUUGCAUUUUGGUGCUGUUUAAGCCUUUACAGUAUCCUUCAAUAUGGAACAAUUUUUAUUCACCAGAAUUUUUUUUCGUUAUCUUUCCCUUUAUUCUAUGAUGUGAAGCGUGUCUAAUACUUUGGUAUUUAGUUUUUUUUUUUUUUUUUUUAAGUAGGAAUAACCUCUUGGUUUUUUUUUCUAACUAGAUGAAGAGAUCAUAUUCCUAUGUUUAUGUUAACCCCCUGAUCAUAUUCCUACUCAAACCCCUGCUUAAAGGUUUCUGAAUUUGAUUUUUCUCAUCUUACAGGAUCUAUUUUACUUUGGUAUUAAAAUUGUAUUGUCUAAAUUGCGAAAUUGUGAAUUCAUCUGUUUUGUCUAGUUUAUUGCAUUUAAUCUUCGCUUGUAAUACUUGGUAGAACAUCCCCUUUUCUAAUUUUUAUUUCUCCUUUGUUUUAUAUGUACACUCGGGAGCGCAUUUAGGGUCCCACGAUUUGACUCCAUCUGUCCAAAUCAGAGAAUAAUAGAUCAUUUUGUAUUUCAUCUAGCAGUCCAGUGUCUCUUUCCNNNNNNNNNNNCUCUUUCAAGAUAUUCUUUGUAGACGCUACUUAUAUUUUUUCUGCAUAUUAUUAUUUUGGAUCUAUGUUUUGUAUGUUUCUUAUUUGAAUUAGUAUGAAUCUUUAAAUAAUUUUAGCAAAUUUAAUUGUUUUCUUUCUACUCCUUAGAUUUUAAGUUUAGCAAAUCACUAGGCUUUGGUAUUUAAUUUAUAUCGUUAAAAGGUUUAAAUUUGGUAGGUAAAAUAUGUAUCUUUUAGAAUAAAUUGCUUUAUCUUUAGAAUUAAAUUAGUUUCUCAUUACUUACUAAUGUCGAAAUAAUAAAAUAUAGGUUUUUGCGGUAGGCGAAUUUAUCGUCGUUAGACUCGGAAAUUGGCUUUAAUUAUUUUAGAUAUGGUAAAUCAAUUCCGUUGUCAUCAAUCUUAAAUAACAUUUAUAUUUUUGCCAAUUUGGUUCCACAAGGCCUUUUUGAGGAUUUCAAAUAAUAAUAAUAAAAUAUUUUUAUUACAUGAGUCUUUUCGCAAAAAACUAGAUCCUUAGCUAUUCAUUUAGUGUAGGAUAAUUAACUCAUUUAGUGUAGGAUAAUUAACUCAUUUUUAUAAAAAUUAGAUUAAGAAAAAAAAAAACGCAAAAGAUUCAUCUAUUCUCGGAAUAAGAAAUCUUUUUUUUUUCUACCUUAUUUUAUUUAUUGUUCAUUUUUUUUUUUCAAUUAAAAAGCUUUGUGAAAUCAUUUGAAAUAAUUUCAUCAUUGUUAAAUGGUUGUAUAAAAAUUAUUUAAGUAAUGUUCGAAAAGUAGAUUUAUGGGAGGGUGCUCUAAAAUUUUUCUAACCGUUUUUUCUUAUAAAUAACUAGUGUAUGUUACGUUUAGAAAGACAUGUAUUUUUUUUUAAGUUUUGCCUAUAUCCUUUUCUUAAUUUAAUAUUUGAUUUUCUUAUCUAAUCUAAGUUUGGCCGGUUAACCGUAGUUAGCGAAUUUUUUAGGGUGCCUAAUCCCUUCCCUUUAGGAUAAUUAGAACCAUUAUCCAGAAUUUUAGGUUGCGUAGACCUUAAAUGGAAUCUUUAAUUAAUCACAUAGUUUAUAAUAGGUGUCCUAAUUCGCCGUAGAACUAGUUAGGUGAUGACUUCCUUAAAUCUAAUUAGAAAGUUUUUCAAUAUGUUGUACGCUAUUUUGACCUCGUGUUAAAAUGGGGUAUACCAAGAUUCAUUAAUACUUUUGGUCCAUUAUCAUAAAGUGAACAUUGUGAGAUCAUGAAAAAUGAUUACGAUUUCAGAUAAUGUUAUAAGUUAUUUGUUAAAGAAAUGACAAUAAAAAAUAAGAGAGUGAAAAUUGACUACUAUUGAGACUUUACUCAAAAUAUUUUUCUUGAAGCAAAAAUAAUUUAAAUUCAUAAAAAUUAUAUUAUGACUACGAUAAUGUGAAGGAAUACAAAAUCUAUUUAGAAAGAAAAAUCUAUCAAGACAAGAAAUGAGAAGGAGUAACUCCUUUCUUCCCCAUAUAGGAGGGUGCAAAUUAAAAUAUUGAAUAAAAUAAUUUAAAUUUCAAGUUAAAAUUUUAUGAAGAAGCCUCAUGUAUAUAACUCUAAAGCACACCAUUCAUUAGUUCUUUGUUUUUCUAACCAAAUUUAGUAGUAAGUUACUUUACUAAUAAUAAUUAUGUUAAAUAUACAUUUUCUUUUGAAAUUAUGUGAGUUUUUUUACAAAUUAUAAACCAAUAUAGAACACAAUAUUAUCUUACAUGAGAAAAUUGAAGGAAAGGUGUAAUUUAAGUCUUGAAUGAAGGAUUGGUGACAUUGACCAACUUAAAUGGUCAAACAUAAUUAGAAAAUUUGAUUAAGUUAAUUGUGGACUUGAUUAAUAUUUUCAAAACUUUCAAUCUUUUCAAAAAUAUAAAUUAACUCACACCCCUCUUCUUUCCAAAUCAACCGUUUCUACCCUCUGUCUCUCCACAGUUUCUCCCAACCAACAGUUCUGCAAAUUUAUCCUUUUAAUCUCCAGCGACAAAUAGUUGGGUUUCGAGUUCCUUUUCGACUUUCAACUGUCAAUCGACGUGACAGCCUUGCUCUCUGGCCACAACAACUUCGAAUUCUUCAUCGUCUCUUUUCUUCUUUCACAGAUAAAAAAUUAUGACGUUUUUAGAUUUGAAGAAAGCGAGGAACUCGAGCCAACUUCUCAUCUAGUAUUGGUUAAAAAUUUUAAUAUGUAUUGCUUUAAUUUGAAAUGCGGUUUGAAUAAAACUCUAAUGUCUAGUAUUUCUUCUCUUCUCUUUUUGGAGCGAAUUGUGAUUUUUUGUUGUUUGUUGCAUUUUUUUUGAAGUUUGAUUUUUUUUGGUUUGUGUUUAUAUAAACAAAAUAAUGAUUUUGGUGUUUUUCGUGUUGCACCCGUUGCUGGACUGAUUUGUUCUUGUUCUUGAUAAAAAUGAUGAUAUUGUUGUUGUUCUAUUGAACAAAAUUAUGCUACUAUUUUUUCUACAACAUAUUAUACAUCUUGAUCAACAAAUUAACCAUCUGAUGUAACAAAUUAACCAUCCAAUGCAACAGAUUUAACAUGUGAUUUUAAUACCUAGCAAAAAUUCUAAGCUUAACUCAAUCCUUUAGAGCAUGAUCAAAGGUCCUAGACUUAGAAAUUUCAGCUAAGUGUUUAUAUUUAAAGCUAUUUUAGCCAAAAAAUUUCAGCUAAGUGUUUAUAUUUAAAGCUAUUUUAGCCUUCGUAAGUUGGCGAUCCUAUUUUAUGAUCCUUACAGCCUUAAAAUAUCAAUUUUUAGGUUGAUUCAUGAUUAGGAAUGUCAGUAGGUGUUCUUAGAAUAGUUUCUAAUUUUUCGAACCUCGUUUGAGGCACAUUUGAAAGUAUAAACUAGUGUAUCGACGCGAUCCCGAUGAGCCGUGUCGCCUAUCGCGUCGAUAGAUAUUUUUCCCUAGCUCCCAGUGCAAAUUCCAAUGAGCCGACGCGAUCUCGACGUGUCGCGGCGUCCAUCGUGUCGACCCCAUUGACGCGGUGCGUCGGUCUGCGCGUUGCUGGGCACAAUUUCUGCUCUUUUAGUUCCGCAUCCAGAGGGAUAAUUAAGUCAUUUUCUCUACUUCUAUCAGCCCCAAAAAAGGAGAUUAAGUCUUUCUAAAGGCAAAUUUCACUAAUUAUUCACCAAUUCUCUCAAUAACAAACCCUAACCCAUCAAAUUCAAGAUUCAAGACCCAAGAAAUUCACCACAACUUUCAGAGAAUUAACAAUCAGGGUAUGUUGGGCGUUCAUCCAAUGAUUUCCUUCCACCCUUGGAGUUCAAGAACCUCUUUUAAAAACUUCAAGUUGAUUACUUUAAUGAAUCUCAUGCUGAAUUUAAUUGUAUUCAUGUUCAUGGUAUGAUUUGGGCUUCAAUCUAUGAUUUACUACAAGUCUAAUAAAAUUUAUGUAGCAUGUGUGGUGAAUUAUGUGAUUAGCAUGUUAAACCCUUGAAAUUACUUUUGAUUAUUGUAUCCAUGAUGUUCAUGUGUUGACUAUUAUUAAGUGAAAUAAUCCAUGCUCCCCAAAUGUUUGAUAUAAUGUUCAUGUGAGUUAAAUAGUGAAAUCAUGAUAUGUUAGUAUGUAUACAUGUUUACACCAUGCAAGUGUUUGCUAAAAUGCCUGAAUGGAUGAAUUGUGGCAAAGUGUCUAGUUAUCAUGCGUUCAAGAUUGUGCUAUGCUUUACAAUUUACGCAAUCGAGUCUGGGGGUAUCUAAUACCCGACAAUCUAGCUGUUUACCUAAAUUUAUAGUAGUUUUAGAAUAGUCUCAGUGAUAUCAGAUCCAGUAGUACUCAGUCAGUUACAGAAUUCAGUAUACUUAGUCAGUUAACAGAAUUCAGUGUAUUUAGUGUGCUCAGUCAGUUAAUAGAACUCAGUUCAGUUCAGUUAGACAACACGAUCAGUAACAGUUCAGUCAAGCCUAGUACAGUCUAGAAAUCAUUUCAGUGUCUAUUCAGUUGGGAGUAGGAAUUAGCACCGAGCGAACCCAAGGAUAGGGGCCUUCCUGCCAGCAGAGAGUUUGACACUUAGUAGCAAUCCCUGCGUUACAUAACUACGUAGCCAGCGUAGGUUGAGAUAUUUUCCUGUUAGACUAGGGUUGAUACAUUUCGUAUGAGUUUUCCUGCGAGUAAGGGUUGACGAAAUAUCUUCCUGCCAGAGGAGGUUAACUCAUAGCCAUUGUCAGUAUCCUUUGGCAAGGUGCUAACACCCUUCCAACUGGGGUAACAGGUUGGACCCCAACUGAAUCAAUAAUCGAGGUAUGUCGGUUAGAUGAACACUCCCACAAUCACAGUUUCAGUUUCAGACACAGUGUAAAACCUCAGUUUAGUUUUCCAGAAUCAGGACUGUCAGACACAGUCACUCAGCUCAGUACGAAACUAAGUUUAGUUUCACAGAAUCAGGACUGUCAGAAACAGUCCCCCAGUUAUCAGUAAAUCAGUCAUCAGUAAUCUCAGUUACAGUAAAGUAGAUUUGCACGCAACAUUGCAUAAUCAGUAGUUAGAGCAGUUUUGGAUAUACAUGUACUCUCAUUCAGUUAUAUUCAUGUUAUUCAGUCAAUUAUUGUUCAUGCAUUUGAACCCAUGCAUUUAGCCUUACCUCACCUAGCAUACUAGUACAUUCAAAGUACUAACACAUACCUUUCUUUUGUGCUAUAAUGUCUUAUAUCAUAAGUUCAGACGCACGGGCUCCUGACCAUUCUUAGAAGCCCAGCCUAUCAGUAGCAUAUCUAGUGGUGAGUCCUCAUAGUCUGAGGAUGGAGCUAUCAUUUAAAUAUUUCAGUAUUCAGUUAUAUUCAAAAGUCGGAGUUAGUUGGGGACUUGUCCCAUCAACUCCAUAUUCAGACAGUUAGAGGCUUUCAGGCUAGAUUAUUUAGAACAGAUGUUCAGUUUACAAUAUUUAUUUAUCAGUACUUGAUUUUAGUUAUGAACAUUAUGGCAGAUUCAGCAUAAUUUUUACAUUAUUACAGUGUUAUUAUUCAGUGAUUGCAGUAGGUACCAGUCAUGGGUUAGCUUGUGGUCCUUUGGGAUUAUAAGCACCGUGUAGUGUCUGGGGUACAGACUCGGGGCGUUACAAACUUGGUAUCAGAGCCUAAGGUUCAACCGAGUCCUAGGGAGUCUGAAAGCCGCAUCUAGUAGAGUCUUGUGCAUGGGUGUGUAGCGCGCCACACUUAUGAACAAGAGGCUAUGAGGUAUUUUAGGAAAAGUUUCCCUUCUUUCAGUAUUCGUAUUGUGCGAGUGAGCAUGAGCUCAAGUUACAGUCUCAGUCUAAUCCUUCUCUUACUUCCGUUUAUAGAAUAUGUAUCCUAAAAAGACUAACGGGAGAAGAACGGGAAAUCAGCCAGCACCUCCGCCCGUCCAGCCAGAUCCCCUGGACAAGUAUGUCUCCCACAUAGAAUUCAGAACAGCUUUCACCACACUAGCUCAUUCUGUGGUAGCCUAGAAUAAAUGCCCAACUGCUGUUCAGUCCAACCCAGUGGCCAAUACUAUUGUAGAUAGAAUUUGGGACUUUACCCGGAUGAAUCCCCCAUCAUUUACCGGGUCUAAGUCAGAUGAGGACCUACAGGAAUUCCUUGAUCAAGUGUAGAAAGUCACAAAUAUUAUGGGGGUGACUUCUAGUGAGAGUGCUGAGUUAGCUGCAUAUCAAUUGCAGGAUGGGGAUCAUACAUGGUUUAAGUAGUGGAAGACAGAUAGAGGCGAAGAUGCAGGGCCCGUAGAAUGGGAGGAGUUUGCUACUGCUUUCCUUGAUAGGUUCUUUCCACUGGAGUUGAGGAAAGCUAAGGUUUUGGAAUUUAUUAAUCUAAAAUAGGGCAAUAUGACAGUGAAAAAGUAUUCUCUCAAGUUUACUCAGUUGGCUAGAUAUGCCCCUCAUGUGGUAGCAGAUAGUAGAUCUUAGAUGAGUAAGUUUGUGUUUGGUGUGUCUAACAGUGUGGUCAAGGAGUGUAAGACUGCAAUACUGAUUAAGAAAAUGGACAUAUCCAGGCUCAUGGUCCAUGCUUAGUAGAUAGAAGAGGCUAAGAAUAAGAAGAAGGAGAGAGAGAAUAAGAGUGCUAGAACAGGUAGCUUCAACUUCACCCAGCCUAAGUCAGAGGAUAGAAAUCAUUCUCAAUUUUGCCUUAAAUCCUCAGUUCCAUCUCCGUCCUUAGCCAGUGCUCCAGUACCAAAAUUCAGAGACAACAAUAAAAAUAGGGCCCCAGGCCCUAAACCCCAGGGUAGUGUUAGCAGUGCUCGAACAAAUCCUCUUUGCCAGAAGUGUGGCAAAAACCAUCAGGGUGUCUGCAGGGCUGGCAGUGAUGUAUGUUUUGAAUGUGGAAAGCUAGGCCAUAGGGUCAGAGAGUGUUCUCAGGUGGGUUCGCAGAUUCAGCAUGAUCGCCCCCAGCUUAGUUCGGUCCCCCGAAUUAGCAGGGUGUCACUUCUAGUGCCACCAGUGGGCAACGCCCAAACAGACUCCAUGCACUCCAAUCUCGACAGGAUUAGGAAAGUUCCUCUAAUAUGGUCACUGGUACGUUACAAGUUUAUCAUUUACAUGUUUAUGCUUUGCUAGAUCCAAGAGCUUCUUUGUUCUUUGUAACUCCUUAUAUAGCGGUUGACUUCGGAGUCAGUCUCGAAAUCCUAGCAGAGCCCUUCUUAGUCUCUACCCCAGUAGGUAAAUCUAUCAUAGUCCGACAGGUAUAUAGGAACUGUCUGGUUAUGGUAUCUCAAAAAGUUACAUCAGCAGACUUAGUAGAGCUAAAGAUGAUAGAUUUUGAUAUCAUUCUCAGCAUGGAUUGAAUUUAUUCAUGCUAUGCUUCAGUUGACUGCAGAAAUAAAAUUAUCUAUUUUCGAUUUCUGAAUGAACUUGUCCUUAAAUUGAGGGGUAGUACUUCAGCACUUAGGGUUCAACUUGUUUCUUACCUUAGGGCGAGAAAAAUGAUGUCUAAGGGAUGUCUCUAUUAUCUCGUUCGAGUUCAAGACUCUAGUUCAGACACCCCUAAUCUUGAGUCAGUAUCAGUAGCAUGUGAAUUUUUAGAUAUUUUUCCCAAAGAUCUUCCUGAAGUCCCUCCCGAUCGGGAAAUUGACUUCGUAAUAAACCUUCUUUCAGAUACUCAGCCCAUCUCUAUUUUGCCAUACAGAAUGGCUCCAGCAGAACUCAAAUAUUUAAAAGAACAGUUGAAAAAUCUCCUAGAUAAGGGAUUCAUCAGACCCAGUGUAUCCCCUUGGGGUGCACCAGUUCUAUUUAUGCAUAAGAAAGAUGGUUCUCUCAGAAUGUGUAUAAACUACCAUCAGCUAAAUAAAGUCACGAUCAAGAACAAGCAUCCACUUCCCAGAAUCGAUGAGUUAUUUGACCAACUUCAAGGUGCCAGCUACUUUUCUAAGAUAGUCCUCAAAUCAGGCUAUCAUCAGCUCGGAGUCAAAGAAUGUAACAUUCCAAAAAUAGCUUUCAAAACUCAGUAUUGUCACUUCAAAUUCUUAGUCAUGUCAUUUGGUCUAACCAAUACCCCAGCAACCUUCAUGGACUUGAUGAACCGCGUGUUCAAGGAGUACUUGGACUUGUUUGUCAUAGUUUUUAUUGAUGACAUUCUUGUCUACUCCCGCAGUGAAACUGAUCAUGCAGACCAUCUCAAAAUAGUGUUACAUACCCUCAGAGGCCAUCAGUUGUUCUCCAAAUUCAGUAAAUGCGAAUUUUGUCUGAGGUCAGUAGCUUUUCUUGGUCAUAUCAUUUUCGGUGAUGGCAUUAAAGUUGAUCCUCAAAAAAUUGAAGUAGUGAGAAACUAGCCCAGGCCUAUCACUCCAUUAGAUAUCAGGAGUUUCUUGGGUUUGGCCGACUUUUACCGAUGGAUUAUUGAGGGAUUUUCAUCUAUUGCAUCCUCUAUGUCCAGAUUGAAUCAGAAGAAGUCAAGUUCUAGUGGUUAAAUUCUUGUGAGAAAAGUUUUCAGGAGUUAAAGACUCGACUCACUUCAGCCUCAGUUUUGACUCUACCAAAUGGUUCAGUCGGGUUUAAGGUAUAUUGUGAUGCUUCCAGAGUUGGUUUGGGGUGUGUUUUGGUGCAGAGUGGUAAGGUCAUAGCCCAUGCCUCUAGACAACUUAAGCCCCAUGAUAAGAACUAUCCCACUCAUGAUCUUGAGUUAGCAACUGUAGUGUUUUCCUUAAAGAUUUGGAGGCAUUAUUUGUAUGGAGUACAUGUUGAUGUGUUUACAGUCCAUAAGAGCCUGCAAUAUGUGCUUUCUAAAAAAGAACAGAACCUACGUCAGAGAAGGUGGUUAGAGUUGUUAAAAGACUGUGACAUAAGUGUUCUGUAUUAUCCGAGCAAGGCUAAUGUAAUUGUUGAUGCUCUCAGUAGGAUGACAAUGGGUAGUGUUGCUCACGUGGAGGAUGGCAAGAAAAAGUUAGUUUAGGAAGUUCGCCAGCUUGCUCGAAUAGGUGUCCUCUUUGUCAAUUCAGCAGAGGGUAGCGUAUGGGUGUAAAAUAGUUUGGAAUCGUAUUUGGUUUCUAAAGUGAAAGAAAAGCAAGUCAGGAAUCCUUGUUUAGUUAAACUGAAGGAGUCAGUCAGAGAUUAGAAAAAAGAGAUUUUCUCCCAAAAGGGAGAUGGUGUGUUACACUGCCAGGGUAGACUAUGUGUACCAUGUGUGGACAUGUGAGACAGCGAAUUCUUGAAGAAGCACAUGGUUCGCACUACUCGAUUCACCCAGGGGCUACUACGAUGUACCGUGACUUGCGGGAAGUCUAUUUGUGGAGUGGGAUGAAGAUAGAUAUAACAGAGUUUGUAGCUAGGUGCUCAACAUGUCAACAGGUUAAAAUCGAGCAUUAGAAACCUAGUGGAGCUAUGCAGGAGUUCAGUAUUCCCACUUGGAAGUGGGAGGAGGUGAAUAUGGAUUUUGUGAUAGGUUUGCCUCGUACUCGCCGCCAGCAUGAUUCGAUCUGGGUCAUUGUGGACAUGAUGACCAAAUCAGCUCAUUUCUUACCAAUUCAUACCUCUUAUUCUGCCGAGGAUUAUGCCAAACUCUAUGUCAGAGAGUUGGUCAAAUUGCACGGAGUUCCAUUGACCAUCAUUUCAGAUAGAGAUACACAGUUCACUUCUCACUUCUGGAAAGCCUUCUAAAAGGAUCUUGGUACCCAAGUUUGCCUCAGUACAUCCUUCCACUCUCAGACAAAUGGUCAAGCAGAAAGGACUAUUCAAACUCUAGAAAAUAUAUUAAGAGCGUGUACUAUUAACUUUAAGGAUAGUUGGGAUGACCACUUGCCUUUGAUUGAGUUUGCAUAUAAUAAUAGCUAUUAUUCCAGUAUUCAGAUGGUUCCGUCUGAGGUGCUCUAUGGGAGGAGAUGUAGAUCCCCCAUUGGUUGGUUUGAAGUGGGUGAGACCGCAAUGGUAGGGCCUGACUUGGUAUUUGAUACCUUAAAAAAGGUUUAGUUGAUCAGGGAAAGACUUAAAACAGCUCAGAGCCGACAGAAGUCGUAUAUGGAUGUGCAAAUAAAAGAUCUCGAGUUUGAGAUUGGUGAUUUUAUGUAUUUGAAAAAUUCUCCUAUGAAAGAAGUGAACAGCUUUGGCAAAAAGGGGAAGCUCAGUUCCCGAUAUAUCGGUCCUUACCGAAUCCUUAGCUGUUUCGGAAAGGUAGCUUUCGAGCUUGAGUUGCCUUUAGACUUAGCUUCAGUGCACCCAGUGUUUCAUGUAUCCUUGCUAAAGAAGUGCAUAGGUGACCCAACAGUUGUAGUCCCUAUAGAGGGUAUAGAUGUUCAAAACAUCCUCUCUUAUAAAGAGAUCCCACUCAAAAUUAUCGAUCAUCAGGUUCGCAGACCGAGGAACAAAUAAGUUUAUUUGGUUAAGGUUCUUUGGUGGAAUCAGUCCGUUGAGGGAGCUACUUGGGAAGAAGAAGCAGAUAUGUGAACCAAGAAUCCUCACCUCUUCUCCGCAAACUCAGAAUCAACUCAAGGUAACAGUUCUCCUUGAAUUUACUCAGUCCCAUGUUCAGAUUUCCUUUAAGAUUUUGAUAUCAGUUCAGUUGCAUAGCAUUCUCAUAUCAUGCAUACCUUCAUAAAAUAGCUCAGUCAUGUGUUAUGCCUUCAUAAUUCAGUCAUGCUUCAGUUAUGCAUGUUCAGUAUGAAAACUCAGUAUAUCAGUCGUUUCAGUCAUGAAGUCAUACUUCAGUUGUGCAUGUCUAGUAUGUAAAUUCAAUCUAUCAUUAUUCUCAGCUAAGUCUCUUCGAGGACGAAUGAUCCCAAGGGGGAGAUAUUGUAAUACCCCGCAAAAUUUCUAAGCUUAACUCAGUCCUUUAGAGCAUGAUGAGAGGUCCCAGACUUAGAAAUUUCAGCUAAGUAUUUAUACUUAAAGUUAUUUUAGCUUUCAUAAGUUGGAGAUCCUAUUUUGCAAUCCUUACAACCUUAAAAUACUUAUUUUUAGGUUGAUUCAUGAUCAGGAAUGUCAGUAGGUGUUCUCAAAUGAGUUUCAGAUUUUUUAGACCUCAUUUGAGGCACAUUUAGAAGUCCAAACCAGUGGAUCAACGCAAUCCCGACACGCCGCGUCACCUAUCAUGUCGAUAGAUAUUUUUCCCCAGCUCCCAGUUCAAAUUCCAGUAAGCGACGCGAUCUUGACAUGUCGCAUUGGCCAUCGCAUCGACCCCAUCGAUGCGGCGCGUCAGUUUGUGCGUCGUCGGGCACGAUUUCUGCUCUUUUAAUUUUGUAUCUAGAGGGGUAAUUAAGUUAUUUUCCCUUCUUCAAUCAACCCCAAAACACGGGAUUAACCCUUUCUAAAGGCAAAUUUCACUCAUUAUUCACCAAUUCUCUCAAUAACAAACCUUAACCCAUCAAAUUCAAGAUUCAAGACCCAAGAAAUUCACCACAACUUUCAGAGAAUUAACAAUCAAGGUAUGUUGGGUGUUCAUCCAAGGGUUUGCUUCCUUCCUUGGUGUUCAAGAACCUCUUUGAAAAACUUCAAGUUGAUUGCUUUCAUGAAUCUCAUGCAGAAUUUAAUUGUAUUCAUGUUCAUAGUAUGAUUUGUGUUUCAAUCUAUGAUUUACUACAAGUCUAAUAAAAUUUAUGUAGCAUGUGUGGUGAAUUAUGUGAUUAGCAUGUUAAACCCUUGAAAUUACUUUUGAUUAUUGUAUCUAUGAUGUUCAUGUGUUGACUAUUAUUAAGUGAAAUAAUCCAUGUUCCCCAAGUGUUUGAUUUAAUGUUCAUGUGAGUUAAAUAGUGAAAUCAUGACAUGUUAGUAUGUAUACAAGUUUACACCAUGCAAGUGUCUGCUAAAAUGCCUGAAUGGAUGAAUUGUGACAACGUAACCUGCUAGGUUGAGAUAUCUUCCUUCCAGACUUGGGUUGAUACAUCUCGUAUGAGUUUUUCUGCCAGCGAGGGUUGGCGAAAUAUCUUCCUGCCAGAGAGGGUUAACUCAUAGCCAUUGUUAGAAUCCCUUGGCAAUGUGCAAACACCCUUCCAACUGGGGUCUUGGAUCCCAACUUAGUCAAUAAUUGGGGUAUGUUGAUUAGAUGAACACUCCCACAGUUAUAGUUUCUAUUUAUGACUCAAUGUAAAGACUCAAUUCAGUUUUCCCAAAUUAGGACUGUCAGACACAGUCACUCAGCUCAGUACGGAGCUAAGUUUAGUUCCACAGAAUCAGGACUGUCAGAAAUAGUCACCCAAUUAUCAGUAAAUCAGUCAUCAGUAAUUUCAGUUAUAGUAAAGUAGAUUUUCACGCAGCAUUGCAUAAUUAGUACUUACAGCAGUUUCAGAUAUACAUUUACUCUCAUUUAGUUAUAUUCAUGUUAUUCAGUCAGUUAUUGUUCAUGUAUAUGAACCCAUGCAUUCAGCCUUACCUCACCUAGCAUACCAGUACAUUCAAAGUACUGACGCAUACCUUUCUUUUGCGCUAUGAUGUCUUAUAUCAUUGGUUCAGACGCAUGGUCUCCUGAUCAUUCUUAGCAGCCCAGCCUGUCAAAAACAGUUCUAGUGGUGAGUCCUCAUACUCCGAGGACAGAGCUAUCAUUUCGGUAUUUUAGUAUUCAGUUUUAUUCAGUAGUCAAAUUUAGUUGGGGACUUGUCCCAUCAACUCUAUAUUCAGACAUUUAGAGGCUUUUAGGCUAGAUUAUUUCAGACUAAUAUUCAGUUUAAAGUAUUUAUUUAUUAGUACUUGAUUUCAGUUAUAAACCUUGUGGCAGAUUCAGCUUAAUUUCCUCAUUAUUACAUUAUUAUUAUUCAGUGAUUGCAACAGGUACUAGUCAUGGGUUAGCUUGUGGUUCUUCGGGAUUAUGAACACUGUGUGGCAUUCGGGGUAUAAACUCGAAGCGUUACAAACUUGGUGUCAGAGCCUAAGGUUCAAUAGAGUCCUAGGGAGUCUGAAAGCCGCAUCUAGUAGAGUCUUGUGCAUGGGUGUGUAGCGCGCCACACUUAUGAACAAGAGGUUAUGAGGUGUUUUAGGAAAAUUUUCCCUUCUUUCAGUAUUCGUAUCGUGAGAGUGAGCAUGAGCUCAAGUUACAAUCUCAGUCCAAUCCUUCUCUUACUUCCAUUUAUAGAAUGUGUCUUCCAAAAAGACUAAUGGAAGAAGAACGGGAAAUCAGCCUGCACCUCCACCCAUCCAGCUAGAUCCCUUGGACGAGCAUGUCUCCCACGCAGAAUUCAAAGCAACUUUCACCACUCUAGCUCAUUCUAUGGUAGCCUAAAAUUAAUGCCCAGCUACCAUUCAAGCCAACCCAGUGGCCAAUACUGCUGCAGCUAGAAUUUGGGACUUCACCCAAAUGAAUCCCUCAUCAUUUACCAGGUCUAAGUCAUAUGAGGACCCAUAGGAAUUCAUUGAUUAUGUGCAGAAAUUCACAGAUAUUAUGGGGUUAAUUCCAGUGAAAGUGCUAAGUUAGCUUGUAAUAUCCCAUAAUUUUUCUAGCUUAAAUCCGUUCUUAGAAUGUUAAGGUAUAGCUUCCAAAAAUGAAGAAUAAUUAUUUCGUGUGGAAUUUUCUAGAUUUAGACCUCCUAUUUUGUGGGAAAUUAAAUAAGCCUUCCAGCGAUAUAAGAUUCGCCCAAAUCCAACACUCAGUGAAGAGUUAUGGCACUUUUAAGUUGACGGUGUUCCACCUGGGCACUUGGCGCAUCGCGGAGAAGGAAAAAUCUGUAAUUUUCAAAUUUCAGUGGCCCUCCGCGAUAGCCCCGCAUUGUGGAGAAGACCAUUUUCUCAAUUUUCUCAUUCCAGUGGUCCUCCGCGAUGUUGGCGCGUCGUACCGAAGGCCAAAUUGGUAUUUUUAUAAUGCACCGCGCUGGUGGUGCAUCACAUUGAAGUUCUAGGUCCCAAUUGUCAAAUUCCAGUGGGACAGCGCGAUAGCUCCGCAUCGCGGAGUACCCACAUUUCCUAGUUGUUAAUUUCCAGUGAGCCACUGCGAUAGUGGUGCGUCGUGGUGGCCCACUAAAUUGGGAUUUUUGGUUGUUUUCCAGUUAUGAUUUAAAAGUUUAAACGGGGUAUUUUGGUCGAUUCCCAGGGUCCUAAUCCAUAUUAAACAAAGAAUUAAACCCCUUCAAAGCACAUUACAUCCACUUUUCAUCAAUUCUCUCUUAAGCAAAAUCCUAGACCAUCAAACUUUCUCCCCAAGAAAUCCAAAUUCCUCCAUUAAUUCUCCAAGGAAAUUCAAGAUUUAGGAUUCUCAAUUCAAGAACUCUAAGCAUCCAUCUCCAAAGACACAAUGGGAAUCCAAGAUUCAAGCCUUUCAUCAAAGAUCAUCAAUUAAGGUGUGUAGGGUUAUGAACAAGGACAAUCCUUUCGUCCUUGUGCCUAAAACUUAUUUUAAAUUUAAAUUUUACUGGAGUUUAUAUGAUUUUCCAUGAAAUUCAAGUUAGGGUUUAUACCCAUUAUUGUUAUUUACAGGCUUAUGAUAUUUCCAAUGAUUUAGAAGUUGAAUGAUAUGAUUUGUUCAUAUUUUUCAUACAUAUUGCAGUAAUUUUCAGAUUUUUAAUUAAAUUAUCAAUGGCUAUAUUAUCAAGCAUGGACACCUUGAUGUUUUGACAUGAAAUUGAUACAUGGAUCAUUAAGUCCUAAUUAAAGAAAUUUGUGCUAUGAGCACCCUAUGAUAAGAUUAUUCUCAGAUUUUUGGUAAAGAUUUGACCUUUUGGUCCUAAGCUAAGAUAAAGAAUCCACAUUAUUCAUAUGAUUUGAGAUUUAAAGAAAGAAAAGCAUAAUUAGUUUUCUUGUAAACCCUUGUGCUAUAUUUUUUAAGUGAAUUUCUUAAGAUCCUGAGAAUAAGAAUAGGAGUAGUAUUUAGCACUGAGAUGGGUAUGUUACCAAGGUUUCAUGUCCCAGAACUACGUUCCCCCGUAGGAUUAAGAUUAUUCUCACUUCUACUUGGAUGACUAAGAUUGUGAUCAAUUAAGAUAAGAAGUUUUAUUCUGAUGGCAAGGGUAGAAGAGGCUCUCCCCAACGUGGGUAAGACGUUGGACUCUAUGAAUGCUCACAUGGUUUAUGUCGAUUAGAAGAACCUCCCAGAAAAUGUCCCCUGUUGCUUUAAAUCCCUAAGAUAAAAGCAUAUGUUUUGGAAGUUAUGGUUUUAAGAUUCUUAAAGUCUUGAGAUGAAGUAUUUCCCUUACAGUUGACAAGAUAAUGUGGCAGUUUUCAGAAAGAACAGAUUUGAGAACUAAAUGUAAUGGCUCAGAAGAUUUAUAUUAUAUGUUUUAUUGUUCAUGAUUUAUGAUCUUUAGUUUUUAGAUUACUCAAGCCUAUGUGAGUCAUUUACAUUAAGCAUGCAUAAUUUAAGAAGUUGCGAUGAUAUUGUUUACUUAUUGCAUUCACCUCCAUAUGCUCAGCACAUUUCCAAAGUACUGAUCCACAUAUACGCCUGUGUGCUACAUUGUGUCAUAAUGUAGGUUCAGGUGUUUAGUCUCAGCAGUGUGAGUGAUUUUUGAGCAUCUCAUCUAUAUCUAUGCAAUUGGUAAAUCAUCCUAGUUCGGGAACUUAGCUAUUCAGAUUCCCAGUUUAUUUGUAGAUAUUUCAGUAUUCAUUUCAGACAGUUUGAGUCAGCUGAGGCCUGUCCUUGUGACUCGUUAGAUUCAGUCAGUAAAGGGUUGUCGGACUACUAGAUUCAGUUUUAAACUUUUGAUUCAGUAUUUAAAUUUUUCAGUAUUGUUUUACCAAGACUUGUGAGAUUAGUAUGUUUUAGAUAAGAUUUCCAUAUUUAUUAUGAUUUUACAUUCAUAUUCCCUAUUUUGAGAUUCAGAUUUAGUAGAAGGCAACCACGGUUAGCUCAGGACUACUUGUAGUUCGGAGCACCAUGUGGCAUCUCGAGAAUCAGUUUUUGGGCUGUUACAAAUUUGGUAUCAGAGCCUAAGGUUUAGAAAGUCCUAGGGAGUCAGACAAGCCGCGUUACAAAGAGUCUUGAUCAUCGGUGUGAAAUGCUCCACAUCUAUAAGCAAGAGGCUAUAGAGCGUUUUAGGAAAUCAUCUCUUCUUUCAUGAUCUAUCGUGCAUACAGUGUCUCUAUCUGCUUUUAACUUGUGCUUUCACAUGACAAAAAAUGCCUCUUUGUUAACCUAACACACGCAGAAAUGAUAAACAGCCACCUCAGUCCACAGAUUCUUUGAAUGAGAAUGUGUCUUAUGCAGAGUUUUGGGCUAUCUUUCAGGUGCUAGCCCAAGAUGUGACAGCAAUGUUCAGGGCAAAUGUCAGGCUGCAGUCCCACUUCAGCGAGACGGGGACUUAGCCACAGCCAAAAUUUGAGAUUUUAUGAGAAUGAACCUGCCAAAAUUCUUUAGGUCGAAGGCAGGUGAGGACCCAUAAUUUAAUCUUAACGAGGUUAAGAAGAUCACCCGAAUUAUGCAUGUUUCUAAAGAGGAGAGUGUAGAAUUGGCAUCCUAUAGGCUAAAAGAUGUUGCAUAUGAUUGGGUGGUGAUAUGGAAGAAAAUCAUAGGGGAGAAUACAGCUCCUAUGAAUUGGCAGAUGUUUCAGGAUGCGUUCUUAGACAAGUUCUUCCUAUGUGAGAUAAGGAAAGCUAAGAUAGAAGAGUUCAUAAACCUGAGGCAGAGCUCAAUGAUAGUGAAGGAGUAUUGCCUCAAGUUUAACCAGUUUUCCAAGUAUGCCCCUGAUCAAAUGGCUGACCCUAAGUCAACCAUGAGUAAGUUUGUGAUCGGUGUGUCUAGGUUGGUAGUUAAGGAGUGUAGGACUACCAUGCUCAUUGGAGACGUGGAUCUUGCUAGAUUAAUGAUGCAUGCUCAGUAGAUUGAGGCAGAGAAGUUAAAGGAGAGAGAGAGUAAAUAAGAAGGCUAAAACUGGGCAGUUUGAGUAUGGAUAGUCUAGAUCUCAAAGAGGAAAUCAUUCACAGUUUUAGAAUCAUUCAUCUAUGCCCGCACCUUCUUCAGCCAGUGCUCCAGCACCCAUAAAUAGGCAGGAACAGUGGAGUAAGUCUUAUAUGUCCAGAUCUCAGAAUAGUGUGAGUGGUAGGCAUGAUCAGUAUGAAAACUCAGUAUAUCAGUAGUUUCAGUCAUGAAAUCAUGCUUCAGUUGUGCAUGUCCAUUAUGUAAGUUCAAUAUAUCAGUAUUCGCAGCUUAGUCUCAUUCGAGGGUGAAUGAUCCCAAGGGGGAGAUAUUGUAAUACCCCGCAAAAAUUAUAAGCUUAACUUAGUCCUUUAGAGCAUAAUGAGAGGUCCCAAACUUAGAAAUUUCAGCUAAGUGUUUAUACUUAAAGUUAUUUUAGCCUUUGUAAGUUGGUGAUCCUAUUUUACAAUCCUUACAACCUUAAAAUAUCGAUUUUUAGGUUGAUUCAUGAUCAGGAAUGUCAGUAGGUGUUCUCAGACGAGUUUUGGAUUUUUUGAACCUCAUUAUAGGCACGUUUGGAAGUCCAAACCAGUGGAUCAAUGCGAUCCCAAUGCGUCGCGUCGCGUCACCUAUCGCAUCGAUAGAUAUUUUCCCCCAGCUCCUAGUGCAAAUUCUAGUGAGCCGAUGAAAUAUCGACGCGUCGCGUCGGCCAUCGCGUUGAUCCCAUCGAUGCGACACAUCAAUUUGUGCGUCGUUGGGCACGAUUUAUGCUCAUUUAAUUCUACGUCUAGAGGGGUAAUUAAGUCAUUUUUCCUACUUCUAUCAGCCCAAAACACAAGAUUAAGCCUUUCUAAAGGCAAAUUUCACUCAUUAUUCACCAACUCGCUCAAUAACAAACCCUAAAUCAUUAAAUUCAAGAUUCAAGACCCACAAAAUUCAUCACAACUUUCAGAGAAUUAACAAUCAAGCUUUGGUGGGUGUUCAUCCAAGGGUUUUCUUCCACCCUUGGAGUUUAAGAACCUCUUUUAAAAACUUCAAGUUGAUUGCUUUAAUGAAUUUCAUGUUGAAUUUAAUUGUAUUUAUGUUCAUGGUAUGAUUUGGGCUUUAAUCUAUGAUUUACUACAACUCUAAUAAAAUUUAUGUAGCAUGUGUGGUGAAUUUGUGAUUAGCAUGUUAAACCCUUGAAAUUAUAAUUGAUUAUUGUAUCCAUGAUGUUAAUGUGUUGACUAUUAUUAAGUGAAAUAAUCCAUGCUCCCCAAGUGUUUGGUAUAAUGUUCAUGUGAGUUAAAUAGUGAAAUCAUGACAUGAUAGUAUGUAUACAAGUUUACACCAUGCAAGUGUUAGCUAAAAUGCCUGAAUGGAUGAAUUGUGAUAAAGUGUCUAGUUAUCAUACUUUCAAGAUUGUGCAAUGUUUUACAAUUUAUGCAAUCGAAUCCUGGGGGUAUCUUAUACCUGACAAUCUAGCUAUUUACCUAGAUUUACAGUAGUUUCAGAAUAGUCUCAGUGAUAUCAGAUCCAGUAGUACUCAGUCAGUUACAGAAUUCAGUAUACUCAGUCAAUUAACAGAAUUCAGUGUACUCAAUUAGUUAAUAGAACUCGAUGAACUCAGUUCAGUUCAGUUAGACAACACGAUCAGUAAUAGUUCAGUUAAGCUUAGUACAGUCUACUAUUUAGUUGGGAGUAGGAAUUAGCACCGAGCGAACCCAGGGAUGGGGAAUUCCUGCUAGUAGAGGGUUUGAUCCUUAGUAGCAAUCCCUACAUUACCGAACUACGUAGCCAGCAUAGGUUGAGAUAUCUUCAUGCCAGACUAGGGUUGAUACAUCUCAUACGAGUUUUCCUUCCAACGAGGGUUGACGAAAUUUCUUCCUACCAGAGAGGGUUAACUCAUAGCUAUUGUUAGUGUCCUUAAGAAAGGUGCUAACACCCUUCCAACUGGGGUCAUAGGUUGGACCCAACUCAGUCAAUAAUCGAGGUAUGUCAAUUUGAUAAACACUUUCACAGUCAUAGUUUUAGUUCCAGACGCAGUGUAAAACCUUAGUUUAGUUUUCCACAAUAAAGACUGUCAGAUACAGUCACUCAUCUCAGUACAAAACUAAGUUUAGUUUCACAGAAUCAGGACUGUCACAAACAGUCACCCAGUUAUCAGUAAAUCAAUCAUCAGUAAUCUCAGUUACAGUAAAGUAGAUUUGCACACAUUAUUGCAUAAUCAGUACUUAUAGCAUUUUCUGAUACACAUGUACUCUCAUUCAGUUAUAUUCAUGUUAUUCAGUCAUUUAUUGUUCAUGCAUAUGAACCCAUGCAUUUAGCCUUACCUCACCUAGCAUACCAGUACAUUCAAAGUACUAACACAUACCUUUCUCUUAUGCUAUGAUGUCUUAUAUUAUAGGUUCAGACGUACAGGCUCGUAACCAUUCUUAGCAGCCCAACCGCUUCAGUAGCAGAUCAAGUGGUAAAUCCUCAUAGACCAAG